AUACUAAAAAAAUAAAUUUCCCCAAAUUGAACUAACCACAAACCCUUCCAUAUGAAGCAUCUUUGUUUCUUGCAAAGCUAAAAAAUUAAUACCAUUUUUAUUAAAAAGUUCGUUUACCCAAGUUUUCUUCGCAUUAUCUCCUAAUCCUUGAUUAUUUAGCGAAAGAAAAUACAUGCUAACAAAUCAACUCUUCCCAUUCGAUUAAGGAAAUUAUGAAGAUCAUCCUCACACCCUUUCAUAGCAUAACCCAUGGCUUGACCCAUUUCAAUAAAAGCAUUAAAAUUUCCAAUAAAGAUAUACUAGUAAUUGGUUUUUUGAGAGACAAAACAAUAUCCUAAUUUGGAUGAAACCGACUCCCUAAACUCCACAUGCAAAGGACCAAUGGCCGAAUGAGAAUGACCAUCACCAACCACAACCUAAUUAUAAACCUUGUUGUGAACAACCAUCUCAAUAGCUUCCUUAGAACAAUUAUAAUGACUUGUUACAAUUAUAAACCUUGUUGUGA
rnacentral:lncRNA from 1 species